GACAGAGGGUGCGAACGUUGUUCGGAAUUACUGGGCGUAAAGCGCGUGUAGGCGGCUCGAUAAGUCGGAUGUGAAAGCCCUGGGCUCAACCUAGGAAGUGCAUUCGAAACUGCUGAGCUUGAGUUCUGGAGAGGAAGGCGGAAUUCUCGGUGUAGAGGUGAAAUUCGUAGAUAUCGAGAGGAACACCGGUGGCGAAGGCGGCCUUCUGGGCCAACACUGACGCUCAUGCACGAAAGCGUGGGGAGCAAACAGG
rnacentral:rRNA from 1 species